rnacentral:rRNA from 1 species
AUUGAACGCUGGCGGCAUGCUUUACACAUGCAAGUCGAACGGCAGCGCGGGCUUCGGCCUGGCGGCGAGUGGCGAACGGGUGAGUAAUGCAUCGAAACGUGCCCAGUAGUUGGGGAUAGCCCGGCGAAAGCCGGAUUAAUACCGCAUAACACCUGAGGGUGAAAGCGGGGGACCGAAAGGCCUCGCGCUAUUGGACCGGUCGAUGUCGGGUUGGCUAGUUUGGGGGGUAAAGGCUUACCAAGGCGACGAUCCGUAGCUGGUCUGAGAGGACGACCAGCCACACUGGGACUGAGACACGGCCCAGACUCCUACGGGAGGCAGCAGUGGGGAAUUUUGGACAAAGGGGGCAACCCUGAUCCAGCCAUGCCGCGUGCGGGAAGAAGGCCUUCGGGUUGUAAACCGCUUUUGUUCGGGAAGAAAUCCUCUAGGCUAAUACCCCGGGGGGAUGACGGUACCGGAAGAAUAAGCACCGGCUAACUACGUG